rnacentral:lncRNA from 1 species
AUGUUGGUUGCUUUAAAAAACGUUUCUACUUUUUGUCAUGUCUCUAUCCUUUCUGGUUAUUUGCAGAUGAUGUACCGCUUGUUUUCCGCCUUGGGUGUUCUAUUCGGAAUGGCCUCAGCGGGGGUCUUUUAUGGCUUAGGGCCAGAGCCAAAGACGAUAUGUCCUGGGAUGCCAUUCACUUUUACACGGACAUAUAAGAUAAGAGCAGACUUGAUGUACUACAAGAACGGGGUUGAGAGGAAGGUUGCCACUACCAAGGAGAUUAUAGACUCCCAGUUUCGGUUCAAUGGCAGUGAACCUUAUAUACCCGAGGUAAUGAAAGUGCAUGAAGGGGGUUAUUAUUGGAAGGCUUUCUCUACCGAUUUUAAACUGGAUCACAUCACACUAAUUCUGAAAGACUGCAGUGUUCGUCAAAAUGUGGUGUACGGUGAGGAGUUGGCCUUAAAUGUGCCGGCGGACGCGUCUGUGUUGGAGUUCACCCCUCACCUCUCAGACCAACACUCCGUCCUGUGGAGACGGAUACACAGAGGGGGGGACGAGGAAGCAAGGGGCGCGGUUAAGGACGGCCGCUGGACAGCACAGAGGAUGACCCAAGCGGAUCAGGGGCGCUACACUUUACUCAGGGAGAGUGGUGGCCAGAUCUCCAGCACUGUGGUCUCUGUUGAAGAACUCCAAAUACAUGCUCACGUGGCUGAUGACGACGUCAGAGAUCACUGGAGAACUGAUGUUAAUAUCUCUGCACGGGAGGCUGUAGUCACUUACUUUACGGCUUUCGGGGGUGAGCAUGUGCUCUUCCGAGACGGCAUGGAGACUGAUGAGGGCUUCGACAUUUUUGGAAAUCGUAUCACACUCCAAAAGUCAACGCUCCAAAAGUCAACUUUCAGCAUCAGCAAAGCGCAGCCAAGUGACGCAGGACGAUACGAGAUCCAUGACAAGAAUGGACAUCUGGCCAUCUCACUGUAUCUGGAGAGAGACCCUGGUCAGUCGUAUGCCAUGACCUGUUUUUAUUGUUGUAUAAUGUAGUUAUUAAUUCUACUUCAAUCUCUUUCUGCGUGUCAACAUUUUUCUCUCUCCUUCAAUCUCUCAGAAGAUGAAGAGUUUUAUCCUACGAGUUUAGCCACUCCUCUUGGCAUAUCUGCGGGCGUGCUGGUUGGACUGCUGUGCUGUUGCUGGUGCUGUUGCAAGUGCUGUGGCAAGUGCUGUGGCCAUGACGAUGGUGACAAGACUGAGUCCGCCGCUGCUUCUCCAGACGCCGAGCAACCCGCUCACAUCCAUGUAAGCGCUUCUAUAUAGGGGAAAGUCUUGCAGGGGUCGUGACCUCGGCCCUUUGUGACAAGAGCAAACACGUGGAGUUGAUUCAUGGAGGGUUAAAAGAAGGAAUAAAAACAAGGCACCCCUGAUGUUAAACUUAAAG